rnacentral:rRNA from 1 species
UACGUAGGGUGCGAGCGUUAAUCGGAAUUACUGGGCGUAAAGCGUGCGCAGGCGGUUCGUUAAGUUCGUUGUGAAAGCCCCGGGCUCAACCUGGGAACUGCAAUGGAAACUGGCGGGCUUGAGUGUGGCAGAGGGGGGUGGAAUUCCGCGUGUAGCAGUGAAAUGCGUAGAGAUGCGGAGGAACACCGAUGGCGAAGGCAGCCCCCUGGGCCAACACUGACGCUCAUGCACGAAAGCGUGGGGAGCAAACAGG